rnacentral:lncRNA from 8 species
UCUGCCUGGCUCUGUGUCUGGCUGGCUGGGCUGUAUCUGGUGCUUCUGUUGAAGGUGAGCUGUUCUCAUGCCUGCCAUGCAUGUGUUCAUCAAGUUGAUCUCACCAUUUCAUUUGUGCAUUUUGAAUUCUAUAAAAAUAAUUUGUAUAUUAAAGCACAGUGGGGAUGUAGAGUAAUGUUUUGACCCAGACUGAUCUAAAACUAAGUGUAGUAACUGAUAUUUAAUGUUGCCGGAGUACUGUUUAACUAGCUCUCUUCCUGUUGUAUUCAUCUCUCUGUCUUGCAGCUCAGAAGACCUCCCAGGUCUGUUACCUCUGUAACCAUGAUAACUGCCCAACCGUUGAGUGUGUUUAUGACCAUUUGACGGCUAAAUUUGACUCUGUGGUCGCGAGGUAAAAUGGCUGACCUCCCUCCCUGCCCCACCACCUCCCCCACGCAAUCUGGAAAAUGCUUGUGUGUUGAGAACCAGAAGGUCUAUGCUGUGUGUGACUCAGAGAUCAUCAAGCCAGUCUUUGAGAGCCAAGGAAAUUCCAUGCCUAUUAUCAAAGCCAGUGAGUUUCUGUGAGGGCCCAUGACAGUACAACCUGGCAAGAGGAUAGUCAAGAGGGAACAAACAAAGCAGAUUUCAGGAAAUGGUCAUAGGUGUCAAUUUAUUAUUGCUAAGGUGCUAUUGGAAGUUGUAGUUUAUUAUACAGUAUAGUAUAUUGCUUUAUUGUGUCUCAAAUCAGUCACUGCUAUGAGCAUUUCCCAGCUGAUCCAGCCCUCUGUUGUGUAGGGACUCAAUUCCUGUACUGUCAUUACAGAUUGCACAAGCAUUGUUUCAACUGAUUGGACGGGUGAGUGCCAUUCAAUAUUCAAACUGUAUUUCACUUUGUUGUUCAUCGAGGAAUUUCUACAAAUCUAUUCUGAAGAUCAGCAAUCUGUAGUAGUGUAUAACAGUCUUAGAUGAUGAUUAGUGUUCUAUGUGUUCAAAUGCUCCCCUGUCCUCCUCUCCCACAAACAGAUCCAAAUGUCCCCACUUCCACCCCUGGUGGUACUGGGAGGUUAUCUAAGGAAGAAGAGAUCACUAUUGGCAUUUUAGCUGCUACCCUUGCCAUCCUCGUCAUUGUUGCUUGGCGCUACAAGGACCAGAUUAAGUGUCUUCCAGUGGCCCCUCCAGCAGUCAUAUCAGGGGAACCCCAGUGCUAUUCAAACUAACUGAAGAAAGAGUUUGAUACCAUCAGCCAAGGAAGAGUUGGAUCUGCAGGGAAUAGGGGUGUGCCAAAAUUUGAAUAUCUCAGACAUUUACCCUGUUAGAAAUGUAUUGGAUAUGUCCUAUUUAAACCUAUGGUGUGUAUUUAACCUGCAACUGGAGGGGACGGUGUUCUCUUAAGAGCUGAAGGUCAUCUGAACUAUCAGCCAGGUGGCUGUGUAGCUGUCACACUGUCUACCCAUCACGUCGGGUUGUUACAGUUUGAUAGCUUUAACUCUUUACAUUUACAACAGGCACAUUUAAAAACACUGCUUCAAACUAAUCAUGGUCUAGAUUGAAGACCAUUAACAGUCAGUUGACUAGUUGAAUCAGUUGUGUUAUAGAUUGUUUACCUAAGCAGCCCAUAUAUUUAUCCCAGAUUGUAAAUACAAUAAGGUAUCAUGUCGUACUGGAGGCAGGGAGGUCAACAGGAAAACUCCUGUUCUGUUUUGGUAUUUACUGUUCAUAUCCAUAGUGACCCACUUGAAACAAAUAGACAUUUCUGUAUCUAAGUUUGGUGUAAAUUGACCUGUACAGUUGCUCUGUGUUCGGCUGAGAGACUGCUGUGGGAACAACCAUGACACAGAAUACUGGAUUAAAAGUUGAAACACUUUCAGUGUGUAUCCAGAUAUGGAUUUUAGUCAAUAGGAAUGGAACUCCUAAAACCUGUUCCCUCUCACGUCCCUUUCACCCUUUCUUAUUCUUUUCUUUCUUCUUAUUCUUCUCUCACGCCCCUCACCAGUUUUAUAAGCAGAUGUGAUUGUACUGCUAUGUAUGUGCUGUGUAAAUAAACACAUGUCCAGCCAGCGAUCCCAGUUCUCUGGUGUUGUUUAUUCUGAAAAUAGACAAGGAACGAGCACAUAAGAUGAGCAUCACUUGCACCAGGAUAUUGAUGGCUGUAG